GAUGAACGCUGGCGGCGUGCCUAAUACAUGCAAGUCGAGCGAACAGACGAGGAGCUUGCUCCUCUGACGUUAGCGGCGGACGGGUGAGUAACACGUGGAUAACCUACCUAUAAGACUGGGAUAACUUCGGGAAACCGGAGCUAAUACCGGAUAAUAUCUUGAACCGCAUUGUUCAAUAGUGAAAGACGGUUUUGCUGUCACUUAUAGAUGGAUCCGCGCCGCAUUAGCUAGUUGGUAAGGUAACGGCUUACCAAGGCAACGAUGCGUAGCCGACCUGAGAGGGUGAUCGGCCACACGGGAACUGAGACACGGUCCAGACUCCUAAGGGAGGCAGCAGUAGGGAAUCUUCCGCAAUGGGCGAAAGCCUGACGGAGCAACGCCGCGUGAGUGAUGAAGGUCUUCGGAUCGUAAAACUCUGUUAUUAGGGAAGAACAAAUGUGUAAGUAACUAUGCACGUAUUGACGGUACCUAAUCAGAAAGCAACGGCUAACUACGUG
rnacentral:rRNA from 1 species